CUGAGCACUGGUCAAACCAGAUGGCUGCACCAGGUUCCACUCUGAUUUGGCAUGGUUUCUAUGGCUGGAUGCCCUUCCUAAUGCCAACCACUCCAGGAGUGUAAUGGGUGCUGCUUACAUGACACCGGCAAUGGCCACAACUUCAGAUUUCACUU